ACGGAACUGUAUUACUCAAAUAGGAGAAGAUUUACUUCAUUUCUCCUACUCCAAACCCUUCGAUCCCCACCAUUACUGUACCACCAUUUUACUUCCCUCAAGAUCAAUUUUGAAGAGAGAUUUCAAGCAAUAAUUACAAUACUUUGAAAGAAAAGGUUCGAGUGGCAGUAUAGAGUGAACAAGCAAGGUCUUCUACUUCAUUAAGUAUAUCAGGUUAAGCUGUGGUGCAGAUGGAAGCGAGCAGAGUAAAUUCUUUGAUGUAUAUGUAUUAAACCAGGCUCAGGAUUCCAUGUCUUCAUACAUGUAAUCCACAUGAAUUAUUCCGCUGCAACACUUAGUCUAUUCUACUUUAUUGAGGUGUUGUACAUAUUUUAAAACAAUAGCUUUGAGAAUUAUGUCACUUGAAAGUUAGACAACUUGUCGUUGUGUAUUGUAAGUUGUCUACUCAUGAGUUUUAAAAGUGAUUGCUUAUGAUUAUCCAAUAUUAAGUAAUUCAUCGUUAAA